rnacentral:siRNA from 1 species
UGCAAAGUGCCUCAAAUGGAAUA